CGGACGGGUGAGUAACACGUGGAUAACCUACCUAUAAGACUGGGAUAACUUCGGGAAACCGGAGCUAAUACCGGAUAAUAUAUUGAACCGCAUGGUUCAAUAGUGAAAGACGGUUUUGCUGUCACUUAUAGAUGGAUCCGCGCCGCAUUAGCUAGUUGGUAAGGUAACGGCUUACCAAGGCAGCGAUGCGUAGCCGACCUGGGAGGGUGAUCGGCCACACUGGAACUGAGACACGGUCCAGACUCCUACGGGAGGCAGCAGCA
rnacentral:rRNA from 1 species